UUAUAUAUUUUGAAAUUAUAUUUCUAUAUAUGUGUUUAGAUAUCAAAUUAGUCAUGAAAUUUUUAAUAUUUCUUAAGUUAUUAGAACACUUGUUAAUAACAGAGAUGUUUCAAACUCAGAUGACAGAGUUAGUAGUAAAGAUCAAUUACCUUCAACAUUAUCAAGUGAAGCUCUUAUUUAGGAGAGUAAAUCAAUAUGUGAUGAAGAGAAAGGAGAAGCUCGAGAUACUCUUUUUACUGACGUAGAUCUACCUUAAACUACCUUGAACUACUAUAUGUUAUGCAUGUUUAUAAGAAACUUAAUUUUCGUCAUAUUAUUUAUUUAUAGCAGAUGUAUCUCAUAUAUUUUGUAUUUAUAUGUUCAUAUAUGUGUUUAAUUAGCAAAUUAGACAUAAAAUAUGUUUGAUUUGUAAAGUUGAUUCAGAACUUCUCAUUUUCAUAGAAAAGUUCCUUAUACUUUUAUGACUAAUGUCUUGAUAGAAAAGGCCAUAAUGAGGUGAAUAACACAAAAUAUAUAUUUUCUGAAAUUGUUUUCUGUCAUUGUGUUAUAUACAACCUAAAAAUGUCUAAAUACAUUGGUAUUACUUAUAAAUUUGAAUUUUUGACGUGGUAUUACUAAUAAAUGUAGAAUUUCGCAAAAAUAUUACUAUGAAGAAGGAAAUAUUACUACAAUCUUGAGAACUACUAAGUACAAAUAUUUAAGCAUUUGUUAGACAUAAAAUAUGGUUAAUUUGUCACGGUUUAAACAUGUUUUUCCACCUAAUAUUUUUGUCAUGAUGUUUUAGGCAUUUUUUUGUUUUUUUUUAAUUUUAAAAAUAUUUUAGACAAGUUUUUUCUUUAUAAAAAGACUUAAAUUGCUGAAAAUAAAUCUUUAACAAUCUUUAGUUUAUAUAUUUUAAAAUUAUAUGUCUGUAUAUGUGUUAAAUAUCAAAUUAGUAAUGAGAUCUUAAAUAUUUUUCACUAUCCCCCAUUUUUCUUCCUUCCUUUCUUACUCUUUCAUUCUUUAUUAUUUAUUUUUUUCUUCAAAAGUUACAGGACCCAUGCUACGCUUUUAUUUUCUUUUUUUUUCUCAGGGUGGAUCCCAUCAUAUUUUCUCUAAAGACCAGGUUCUUUUCUUCCAUUUCUUUUUCAAUUUCUUUUAAAAAAAUUCUUUUUAAAAAUAAUUAUUAAUGAUUAAUAUUGCUAAAAUUUAUUGCAACAAUUUUAUAAAUUUCGUUUUAUCUUACUAUAAUAUUUUUAUAAAUAACAAAAAAGUUAUUUCAGUAAAAUUUUAAUCAAUAGUUAAUUUCAAAAAUAAAUUUCAUAAAAUAUUUAUAUAAAUAUUUUACUAAACUAAAAUAUUUUUCUCUUUUAUAUAAAAGUUAUCAAGUUUAAAAUAAGAAAUUUCAUGUACGUUCGGGUUAAUUGGGUCUAGAGCCUAAUGAAAAGAAUUGAAUUUUCGAAGAUUAAUUGGUGAUUAAUUUUAGGGUUUUAUUAAACUUAUAUAUGAAAUUUAGUUAUGUAAAUAUACAAAAUGUUAUUAUCAAGACAGCUCCGGGUUGAUAGAAUAGCCGUCCGUUUGAGCAAAGAUUAAACAGAGAAUAGAGGUAGGAAAGUCAAUGAGAUUCUGGAGAAAAUUGAAAUAAAGCUUUAAAAUAGCCAAGAUUUUAGGGUUCUGAAUCCAAAGGUUAUCACGAAAAAGAAGACUAAGAUAAUUGAUGAAAAGGAAGAUGAAGAUGAAGAUGAAGAUGAUGAGAGAUUUUUGUAAAUGAAAAAAAGUGAAAAAAGAGAGAGACCGUGAUAUGGAUUCGGAUAAUCUAAUUGAGUCUGGGUGGGGUUGAGUUAGCUAGGUUGGAUCAGGUAAAUGUUUAAGUUCAUUAAGGGUGUUUUUGUAAUUUUUGUAAUUAAAAAGAAAAAGAAAAAUAUAAUUUAUCAGAAGUGGGGUAUAUUAGAAUUUUUGUGAGAGGUAGUAGGGUAAAUAAGAAUAUAGUCCCAUAAAGAUAGGCGUUAUCUUCAGUUGUAUCUUCAUAUAAAAAAUCACCAAAAUUAAAUGAAAUGAGUUCACAGAUGGAGUUGUAGAGAAUUUUUCGAAGAUCUUGGAUUGUAAGAUUAUCAGACCACUAUUUUCAUAUGUUGAUAGGCCGUAAGUAGUAUCAAAUGUGGUAACUGUUUGAUUCAUUUUGGAAGGGAGAGUAAAUCUGAUAAAUAGAGAAACAAACCUUAGUUAUAAAUUCUUAUUAUAUAAAAUAGAGUUUGUUCUCUCCUUAGAGAGACACCUAGGAUGCCACAUAGGAAAGUCGGUUUACGCUCUGUCAACACGUGUCCCAUUUUAUCAGUGCGUUGCGUUUCAUUUAUUUCAAUCGUUUCUAAUAUCUGGGCUUUCUGUUGAGUUUAUUUUUUUUUUGUGUGUAUGGACUGGGAAAGUGGUGGGUUGUGGUUGAUGUAGUACAGGUCCGUAACAUGAAUAAGAAAACCCUAGACUUCUGGCUCUGGUGUUGUCUUCUCCUUCUUUGUUUCAGAAACUUUUCAUAUUCGUUUGAAUCAUAUGUGGCAUUGAAACGCAUCCGUUUGUUUCUUCUUCAUGAUUAAUCUCCAUUACUUCAAUCACCAAGAUGUAGCCUUGAAUGCAUGUAUGUUUUGAUUACGAGUCGGUGAACCUGAACGUUGAAAUAGGUCAGCUUUCUUUCUCUUACAAUCAUCUUAUCAAUCUGUUUAAACAGCAAAACACAUUUUUCUGAGAUAUAGCUAACUCCCAACUCCCAAGUUUUCCUUUCCGAGUUGGAGUCCGGAAGAUGUUCUUCGAAAGUUGAAGUUAGAUUGCUGCGAUUCUGGGAGUAUAGAUAUGUUAGGCGUGGUGGUGAACUGAUCAUAUCAGUCGAUAUGCUUUUGAUUGAUUGGAAGGUGAGUUUGUUGUUAUGCUCUUGAUAAUAAUGAUGCAAUUGCAGGUGAACUAUCGUGAAAAUUACGAAUCUGUUCUUUAAUAAUUUCAUUAGCCAUCUAUGAUCUGUUUUGCUAUUCUGAUAUAUUUCCAAUCAUUUUUUCUGGGAACUCUCAUGCCAGCCACCGUGAAUGCUAGCCGUGUUCCAACCUUCCGACCUCAUCUCACGGCAGAGCGAUAUAUUCUAUCACCGGAUUUGAUGUGGCUCUGUUGUAAUCCAAACUUCAGGUUGUCCGACUCCUCCCUUUUGGUUCGGUUCGGUGAUGCAACCUCCUUAAGGAUGUUUUUGUGACCUUGAGUAUGUUCGACUCAAACACAGUUUCGUUUCACAAAAGACUCGAAGCCAUGCGUGGUGAUCCAAGAAAAUGGUUGGAGGUCGUCUCUAUCUUAAUGCCACUUCAGGAACACACAUUUAUUUCGAUAAGGAGACUAAUGUUGGAGAGAGCUACUUUUACAAGUGAGUAGUAUGAUGGUUUUAUAUGCAUUAGAAUAUUUUUUAUAUAAGGUUUUUAUAUUUAGGUAGGUUGGUCUCCACUUAUGAAGCACGGGAACGGCAAUUCACUGCCGUCUCACGUACCAGCUGCGCUUCUGGGACGGGGACGUGGUGGGGACGGCUUGGGGACGUUUCCUAAAUGUUUUAGAGACAGCGGGGACGGCAAAUGUUUUUGGGGACGUGUAGCUAGGUUUUGGAAACGUUUCUGAUGUAAAUCCAGUAUCUAUUUUUACAUUUAUUAUGUCAUAGUUUUGGAAAGCAGUUGAAAAACAAGGAAACACGUCCUUCUAUAAAAGAUUAGGGUUACAAAGUUUUAAUCUAUCUUUUCUUAAUCUUAAGCAAACUCUUAUUCUCUUUCUAUCUUCUUCAUCAAUUGUCAUUUCUCCACGUCUAAGGAAAAUUACAAACUCUAUUUUGUGUUUGUCAAUUCUUACGUAUGUGUGUUGUUUAGUUUAUAUAUACUUCUCACUUUCCAUGCUUUUCAAGUUACGUACGAAUUAUGUUACAUAUGUCUUUUAUUUUGAGUUUUAUGUUUUGUAAUACGUAUUUUGUUUUGUCUAUAUACAAGCUUCCAACGUUUUUAUUUUAUAUGAGAAUAUGAUUUGGUUUAUAUUAUGAUUUGAUAUAAUAUAUAUAUAUAUAUAUAUAUAUUUUAUAGAUGUACCCAUGCCGUACCCGUAUCCAUAAAUUUUAAGUUUAGCCGUUUCCCGUCUCCGUAUCUGUCCCCGUAUCCGUUCCGGUGCAACAUAGUUCUCCACAGAACUGGGCUUCCCUCAGCCGCUCCACUGCUGAGGGGAUAUGCUAAGGUUGAGACUCUAACCAUAUCUGAGCGUAAUGAGUUUAUAAUCACAGCUCUAACUCAGGAUAUUGAUUUCAUAUGCACUGGGAAAGUGACAAGCAGCAAGAUAGAGAAAAUGAUGAUGUUCUGUUGCUUGCUCUGAUUGUACCAAAAAAAAACUGCAGCGCGCCGUUGUCGACAUGGAAGGGAAAACAUGGAAGGAAAAACAUUCACCUUUCAGGUCAGGGGAGGCGACAACAACAAUGGACCUGCAGGUGAUGACACAGUCGUUGCUAAGGUUGAAACUGGUGGAAGUAGUGAGCAGUCAGCAUCAAAUA